rnacentral:rRNA from 1 species
UACGAAGGGGGCUAGCGUUGUUCGGAAUUACUGGGCGUAAAGCGUGCGCAGGCGGCGGCUCAAGUCAGGUGUGAAAUCCCCGGGCUUAACCUGGGAAUUGCGCUUGAAACUAGGUCGCUAGAGUGUGGCAGAGGGGGGGUAGAAUUCCACGUGUAGCAGUGAAAUGCGUAGAGAUGUGGAGGAAUACCGAUGGCGAAGGCAGCCCCCUGGGCCAAUACUGACGCUCAUGCACGAAAGCGUGGGGAGCAAACAGG